rnacentral:rRNA from 1 species
AGUUGGUGAUUUGAAUUGUCUGCUUUAUUGCGAUAACGAACGAGAUCUUCACCUGCUAAAUACGCUAGUCAAUGCAAAUUGGCGAGUGUUCUUAGAGGGACUGAUUGCAAAAAGCAAUUGGAAGUUGGAGGCAAUAACAGGUC